rnacentral:rRNA from 1 species
AUUGAACGCUGGCGGCAGGCCUAACACAUGCAAGUCGAGCGGAGCGGCGGACGGGUGAGUAAUGCCUAGGAAUCUGCCUGGUAGUGGGGGAUAACGUCCGGAAACGGGCGCUAAUACCGCAUACUAUCAGAUGAGCCUAGGUCGGUUUGGCUAGUUGGUGGGGUAAAGGCCUACCAAGGCGACGAUCCGUAACUGGUCUGAGAGGAUGAUCAGUCACACUGGAACUGAGACAUGGUCCAGACUCCUGCGGAAGGCAUCAGUGGGAAAUAUUGGACAUGGGGCAAAAGCCUGAUCCAGCCAUGCCGCGUGUGUGAUGAAGGCCUUCGGGUUGUAAAGUACUUUUGGCAGAGAAGCGGUAUCUGCAGAAUAAGCACCGGCUAACUACGUGCCAGCAGCCGCGGUAAUAC